GGGUGCAAUCAUACCAGCACUAAUGCACCAGAUCCCAUCAGAACUCCGAAGUUAAGCGUGCUUGUGUGAGAAUAGUUCUAAGAUGCACUUG
rnacentral:rRNA from 1 species